rnacentral:lncRNA from 1 species
AGGGUUAGAAAAACCAUGGAUUCCCAAAAAUUUUGAUGGCAGCCAUCGAAAAAUACCAGAUCAGCGGAUGCCACUGUCUCCGUAAUAGUCCGGCAAGUCCAACCUCUCUUCUCACCAUCUCGUUUCCUUUUUUUUAAUUAUAAAAAAAUGGAUGGUGGCCGAUCGUCGCAGGCCAGAUGUCCGACCGUCAUCAAAUGAGGGCGCUGGCGAUAGGGAGGAAGCCCAACCACUGUUA